GAACUGAAGAGUUUGAUCAUGGCUCAGAUUGAACGCUGGCGGCAGGCCUAACACAUGCAAGUCGAGCGGAUGAAGGGAGCUUGCUCUCUGAUUCAGCGGCGGACGGGUGAGUAAUGCCUAGGAAUCUGCCUGGUAGUGGGGGACAACGUUUCGAAAGGAACGCUAAUACCGCAUACGUCCUACGGGAGAAAGCAGGGGACCUUCGGGCCUUGCGCUAUCAGAUGAGCCUAGGUCGGAUUAGCUAGUUGGUGAGGUAAAGGCUCACCAAGGCGACGAUCCGUAACUGGUCUGAGAGGAUGAUCAGUCACACUGGAACUGAGACACGGUCCAGACUCCUACGGGAGGCAGCAGUGGGGAAUAUUGGACAAUGGGCGAAAGCCUGAUCCAGCCAUGCCGCGUGUGUGAAGAAGGUCUUCGGAUUGUAAAGCACUUUAAGUUGGGAGGAAGGGCAGUAAGUUAAUACCUUGCUGUUUUGACGUUACCGACAGAAUAAGCACCGGCUAACUUCGUGCCAGCAGCCGCGGUAAUACGAAGGGUGCAAGCGUUAAUCGGAAUUACUGGGCGUAAAGCGCGCGUAGGUGGUUUGUUAAGUCGGAUGUGAAAGCCCCGGGCUCAACCUGGGAAUUGCGGUGGAUACUGGCAGGCUAGAGUACGGUAGAGGAUGGUGGAAUUCCCGG
rnacentral:rRNA from 1 species